GAUCAUCCUCUCCAUCAUCUCUGAAAUGACCCCCAGAGCCUUGGCCUGACCCCUGACCUCCACCUGAUUGAGGUGCUGUAGGAAACCUGCAGAUGAGUCAAAUAAUGAAAGAAAGAGAGGCAUUUUACCUUACAAAAUGAGAACGACGAGCAAAUCUCAUGGCUUCCUCAAAAUGAUCCUUCCUGAUCUCAGGCACCGGGUCAUAAUCAUCAUCCUGGAAACAGGUACGAAGGGCAAACAACAGUCGCGGCAGUUUCAGACUGUGGCUUUCAAGUGUGCGUAUGUACCAUUGAUGAGAAAGAAGAAAGCUCCCGUCUCGUUAGCAACAGCACGAGCCACCAGCGUCUUGCCCGUACCGGGAGGACCGUACAGCAGAAUUCCUCUCGGAGGCUGAGGAACGACAUGCAUGUGCCGGGGUGCCUGAGAGGCAGCUCCACCAUCUCUUUAAUCUGAGCCAGCUGUUUACGACAACCCCCGAUGUCAUCAUACCCGAUGUCAUUCAGGCUCUCCUCUUCAUCCUGGCACCAUCAACAUAUGACAACAUGACGGAGUGCAGACAUUGAAAUGGAGAAACUGUACAGAGACAGCGCAAGUACCUUCACUUCCACCCACGUCUACUUCCUGCUGUAAGGAGCACUGGUUUGACGUCUCCAGCGAUGAAGAUGACUGGGAUUUCCCCUCAGAUGUCAGUGGUGAGUUGGUGCCAUUAUCGUUCUC